rnacentral:rRNA from 1 species
AACGAACGCUGGCGGCGUGUUUAAGACAUGCAAGUCGCACGGGAUAAGACAUGUAGUAAUACUUGUUUUAUUUAGUGGCGCACGGGUGAGUAACACGUGAAUUACAUGCCCUAUAGUGGGGAAUAGCCCAGGGAAACUUGGAUUAAUACCCCAUGGUAUCGAAAGAUUAAAGGUGGCCGAAAGGCUGUCGCUAUAGGAUUGGUUCUCGCCCUAUCAGCUUGUUGGUGAGGUAACGGCUCACCAAGGCAAUGACGGGUACCUGGUCUGAGAGGACGAUCAGGCACACUGGAACUGAGACACGGUCCAGACACCUACGGGUGGCAGCAGUCGAGAAUAAUUCACAAUGGGGGCAACCCUGAUGGUGCAACGCCGCGUGGAGGAUGACGGUCUUCGGAUUGUAAACUCCUGUCAUCUGGGAGAAAGACCUGACGGUAAAUAGCCGGCAGGGUUGAUAGUACCAGAAGAGGAAGGGACGGCUAACUUCGUGCCAGCCGCCGCAGUAA